AUUGAACGCUGGCGGCAUGCCUUACACAUGCAAGUCGAACGGCAGCACGGGCUUCGGUCUGGUGGCGAGUGGCGAACGGGUGAGUAACGUAUCGGAACGUACCUUUCAGUGGGGGAUAACGUAGCGAAAGUUACGCUAAUACCGCAUAUUCUGUGAGCAGGAAAGCAGGGGAUCGCAAGACCUUGCGCUGAUUGAGCGGCCGAUAUCAGAUUAGCUAGUUGGUGGGGUAAAGGCCUACCAAGGCGACGAUCUGUAGCGGGUCUGAGAGGAUGAUCCGCCACACUGGAACUGAGACACGGUCCAGGCUCCUACGGGAGGCAGCAGUGGGGAAUUUUGGACAAUGGGGGCAACCCUGAUCCAGCCAUGCCGCGUGAGUGAAGAAGGCCUUCGGGUUGUAAAGCUCUUUCGGCCGGGAAGAAAUCGCAUGGGCUAAUACCCUGUGUGGAUGACGGUACCGGAAUAAGAAGCACGGCUAACUACGUGCCAGCCGCCGCAGUAACAC
rnacentral:rRNA from 1 species